AGUGAACGCUGGCGGUAGGCCUAACACAUGCAAGUCGAACGGCAGCACAGUAAGAGCUUGCUCUUACGGGUGGCGAGUGUCGGACGGGUGAGGAAUACAUCGGAAUCUACUUUUUCGUGGGGGAUAACGUAGGGAAACUUACGCUACUACCGCAUACGACCUACGGGUGAAAGCAGGGGAUCUUCGGACCUUGCGCGAUUGCAUGAGCCGAUGUCGGAUUAGCUAGUUGGCGGGGUAAAGGCCCACCAAGGCGACGAUCCGUAGCUGGUCUGAGAGGAUGAUCAGCCACACUGGAACUGAGAAACGGUCCAGACUCCUACGGGAGGCAGCAGUGGGGAAUAUUGGGCAAUGGGCGCAAGCCUGAUCCAGCCAUACCGCGUGGGUGAAGAAGGCCUUCGGGUUGUAAAGCCCUUUUGUUGGGAAAGAAAAGCAGCAGGUUAAUACCCCGCUGUUCUGACGGUACCCAAAGAAUAAGCACCGGCUAACUUCGUG
rnacentral:rRNA from 1 species